rnacentral:rRNA from 1 species
ACGGAGGGUGCGAGCGUUGUCCGGAAUCACUGGGCGUAAAGGGCGCGUAGGCGGCCUGAUAAGUAGGGGGUGAAAUCUUGCGGCUUAACCGCAAGGCUGCCUUCUAAACUGUCAGGCUCGAGCACAGUAGAGGCAGGUGGAAUUCCCGGUGUAGCGGUGGAAUGCGUAGAGAUCGGGAAGAACAUCAGUGGCGAAGGCGGCCUGCUGGGCUGUUGCUGACGCUGAGGCGCGACAGCGUGGGGAGCAAACAGGAUUAGAUACCCUGGUAGUCCACGCCGUAAACGAUGGGCACUAGGCGUCGGGGGGAGCGACCCUCCCGGUGCCGUCGCUAACGCAGUAAGUGCCCCGCCUGGGGAGUACGGCCGCAAGGCUG